UACGUAGGGGGCAAGCGUUGUCCGGAAUUAUUGGGCGUAAAGAGCGCGUAGGCGGUCUGAUAAGUCGGUUGUGAAAGUCGGGGGCUCAACCCUCGGAUGCCGAUCGAUACUGUCAGGCUAGAGUCCGGAAGAGGCGAGUGGAAUUCCUGGUGUAGCGGUGAAAUGCGCAGAUAUCAGGAGGAACACCAAUGGCGAAGGCAGCUCGCUGGGACGGUAUUGACGCUGAGGCGCGAAAGCCAGGGGAGCAAACGGG
rnacentral:rRNA from 1 species